CCUCUCCCAUCUUUGCAGCUGCUGUGCUGAGCUGAAGCUGAUCCCAGGACUUGGUCCAGCACUGCCCUAGACCGAUGGCAGCUGUUGUCACCAACCUGUUUUCUGCCACAUGGAGAGAAGACACGGGGUCUCCACUGCUGCUGACCACCAACACGUUCAGGCAGGUCCCACUCAAGAAGUUAAAGACACGGAUCUUUCCGUCAGCACAGCCACUGAUGACUCUGAGGUAGAGGAACUCCAGAGACAGAACUGCCCUGAAAGCACAGCAGGAAGAAGGCCCAGGCUUGGCAGCACCCCUGGCCUCAGGGCUCUGUGUGCAACUGGGGAUGCAUGAGGAUGAGGCAGGAAUUUGGGAAUGCAGGCUCCCUCCCGUGUGAGAAGGUGCUGAGCAAGCCCCAGAAGCUGGCAAACCAGAAGCAGGAGUGGGAGAAGACUAAAGCAACUCCAAAUUCACUGUCUUCCAAGAAGCGUCUUGGAAGUGUCCUGUCUUCCAAGACAUGUCCUUCUUCCUCCCAAAUACUCAAGUG